rnacentral:rRNA from 1 species
UACGGAGGGUGCGAGCGUUUGUCCGGAAUCACUGGGCGUAAAGGGCGCGUAGGCGGCGCGGAUAGUCGGCGGUGAAAGCCCGGAGCUCAACUCCGGGUCGGCCGUCGAUACUUCCGGGCUUGAGCACUGUAGAGGCAGAUGGAAUUCCGGGUGUAGCGGUGGAAUGCGUAGAGAUCCGGAAGAACACCGGUGGCGAAGGCGGUCUGCUGGGCAGU